AAGCCUCCUCUGUCCAUCUGCAGGAGGUUCCCCAAGAUGGGCAGGGGACGGGGUCCUGGUGGGAGGUGACCAUGAGCCUUUGGGUGGCCCCUGACCAGGAGCAGUAAGAAGCCCAUGAGGAGAGCAAGGAGGAGCAGGACACUGGGCUCCAUGGUCCUGGUCUGAGCACCGUCCACUCCACUGCACACUCCAGCAGGACUUUUAUGCUGGACCUGGAUCUCCAGCCAGUUGAGCAACUUCAGCUGUUCCCGCCUCCUGUCUCCUCCCUGUCCAGGAGUGUGAGCAUCAUACUUCCUGCUUGGGCUGUCAGUAACUUGCUCACGCCCUAUCACCUCCCCCCACCCUAGAUGUUGGCAAGGACACCAUGAAACAGGUACACAGGACAAAGGGCAUAGGGAGUAAUGCAUCUCGAUUUCUGGGGUUCCUUUGUAACAGGAAUUUGGCCUUGGUGACAAGAAGAGCAAGGAAUGAAGAAAAAAUGGCACCAGAUUGUGCUGUUAGGAUGAACAUGACCAUAUUACUCAAAGGCUGGAAUCAUUAUCAGUUGGGGCUCCUGGCUUGCUAUGGGAGCUCGUGACUGAUCACAUGGCAGUGGGAGAUGAGAAACGAGAGAGAAAGAGACAAGCUGAAAUCAGGCCCAGAGUAUAAGACAUCAUCUAAUCUAUCUAUAGCCAUUGUGAAGAUAAUAUAUCUCCCCCAAAGUGUAAGGACUGUGACAGUUACUGUAUGAAAUGUACUUCAUGGCUCCCACUGGGAAUCCUGGGUUCAAAUAAUGACCGAAGUCCAGUGUCAGAUCCCCCUGCUUGACAGGACCAAGGUAAUCCUCCUUAUACAGAGAGAAACCGGGUCGUAGAGGAGUGAAGUGUGAAAAUGUCAUAAGGUAUCCAUUAUUUUGUACACUACAAAAGUUAGUGAAAAGUUGAAGAGGAGCUGGGGAAAUAGUUCAGUAGGGAAUAUACCUGCCUUAUAAGCACAAGGACUGAAGUUUGGAUCCCCAGCACCCAUGUAAAUCUAGGCAUGGACAUACAUAGAGCACAUACAUGGAACCCCGGCAUUUGGAGGGUGGAGCAGGUAGAGACCGGUCUCAUUCGUCAAUUAAUUAAACUAUUUAAUUAACUAAUUAAUUAAAGUAAUUAAUAAAGUGGAGAACAACUGAGGAAUGCUGUGGGAGCUCCUUCAGCCAAUAGCCUUUAAGAUACCAGCCCACUUGGGUGUGGUCUCUUUGGCUUGAAAAAACAGCAGUAGCUGUGCGCGCUCUCUCUCUUGCUUCGGACUCCGCUUCUGGCUAACAUACUCUUUUCCCUCUUUUCCUGGCUGUGCAGAGGGCUGUUGUCUAGGAUGGUGAUUUGUAAGUUUUUCCCUUUAAAUAAAUAACCCUUUUAUUAAUCAUAAUUCCAAACUGGUGUGGGAUUGUUUUGUGACUUACUCCUUUAGAGGAAGAUACUAAUAUUACUGCCUCUGCACAUAAGCAGUAGCACAUUCACCACACACACACACACACACACACACACACACACACACACACGAUGGAGGUCUCUCACACACAUACACACACACAACAUACACAACAAUUUUUAAAGGGGAAAAAUAAUUAAAGCAUUUUGUAAAUGUUUAAUAGUGUACACAGACUGGCCACAAAGGAAAUGGUGAUGUAAGUCAUGUGUAUGUAUCUCUGCUUUGGGGUUUCCCGUCUGUAAGUCUAGGGACAGAAGACCCACACAAGAACUUCAGAACAAUGAAGCAUUUGGUGUUCAUGGUGGCAACUUUAGGGAAACAAAUGUAGCACUAAUUAAGCACAUAAAAGUGCAUGAGCCAGUGUUGGGGCACAUGCCUUUAAUCCCAGCAUGCAGAAGGCAGGGCCAGGUGGAUCUCAGUGAAUUCCAGCCCAACCUGAGCCACAAAGUGAGUUCUAGGACAGUCGGGGAUACAUAGUGAGACCAUGUCUCAAAUCACUGAAAGUAUAAAUUUGUGCAGUUCUCUUACUGUGAAUUAGCAUCAUCCAAUGACACAUCUAGAAAGUCACUAGAUAGUCCUCAGGCUGUGUCUGCUAGCUUCCAAAUCAUCUCUGAAUGCCCUGAAGCCAGAGGUAUCAACACAGCAAUACCCUGGAGAAAACUGAAUAAAGUGACUACAACCAACAGCACAGUCCUGCAUCUGAGGCUCAGAGAUCAUUGUGGAAGAGAAUGGGAAAUGGGAUAGGACUUCCAGCUGCUCUGGAUUACUAUUUGACAACCUAGAGUGAGGCACCCAACCUGUCAAGUGAGGUAACUGGGAAAGAAACACAAAUGGCACCCAGAGCUGCCAUGGUGAACCAAGUGGAGGAGGAGAUGGUGGCAGGCAAUGGUGGUCGGUUGGGUGGAUGAUCAAAGUGGCAGCAGGAACCAGAAGGCAGGGGUGGAGAACCCUGCCCCAUGCAGCUUCUGGGGAAGGUGAGCUGGAACUGUUUGGACAAUUAGAGUAUCAGCUUUUCUACCACUGCACAGGUGGGUAUACACUGACCUGAUUGUAAACAGUUUUCUUCCAUCUCCCACUAGACUUGACAAUUCUGGUUCCAUUUUUUACUUUAUUUGCAUACAUAUACAUUCAGCCAAUCAGGGUCCAGAGAGCCCCCCAUAAAUUUGGGUUAGGUUAAGUCUGAAGGGGAAAGUCAUUGAAUGGUCAGAGAAGGAAGAUUCCACAACCCACAUCCUGGCCAGAGCCUGACUCUUGGGCAGGUUCCUGGCUCCUGGCUGAGGGUUGAACUUCCAGAGACAUUACCGAGAAGGAACAGUGUGGUAAAGAUUCACAGAGACAGACAAUUUUGAGGAUUGCUGCCCUGAUGCUUUUGUCUCAAGCAUGGAGACAGCUCCCUAUCCCACCAUUUCAGCCUGUGGGACUCUACUGUGGCCACAGGCAGGUGGACAGAUUCCUGCUUCUGCCGCUAAGACUCCAUCCUUUGGCUGAAGAUGAGAAUUCAUUUCCGAGGUUGGCUCUAGCCCUUGAGACUUGCCCAGGGACAGAAGACCAGGAGUGCAGAGAUAUGAUGCUCACAGUGUCUCAUGGAGGGUGUCCUUCUGCCAACAUGGGAUCUCAAUGUUUACCUUCUCAUUUAAAUGGUUGCUCCCAUGAUGUAAAUAAAGUUCCCUUGUUGUCCAGUCA